AGUCUAUCUGGCAUUAACGUGCACUCUGUCACCAUAAGACUUAACGGUGGCAGAUGGCAGUUGCGUUAGCAAACAUUCAGUUCUCUCUCUUUGAUUCUUCCCUUAGGAUUGAGGAAGGCCUGGCCGUGGCUCACAGCUGAGUCACACCUCUCCAGUAAAGCCUGAGGAGAGCAUGUCAAACCACCGGAAGACCUCAGUCAUGUGGGUUUUCCGGUUCACCCGUGGCAACAGAGUUGGUUUUCCAGCACAACAUUGGGUACUGGAAUACUGGAGUUACAAGACAAAAUGUAUGAAGAAAAAAAAACAAUAGAAGAAUCUAGAAAUGUACAUUAAGGUCAGUUUAUAAAGGGCCCAGGUAAAUGUGGUUACAAAGUUUUUGGAAUGCAAAUCCAAUUAUGG
ensembl:lincRNA